rnacentral:rRNA from 1 species
UGUUGGGUUAAGUCCCGCAACGAGCGCAACCCUCGUUCUAUGUUGCCAGCACGUAAUGGUGGGAACUCAUGGGAUACUGCCGGGGUCAACUCGGAGGAAGGUGGGGAUGACGUCAAAUCAUCAUGCCCCUUAUGUCUUGGGCUUCACGCAUGCUACAAUGGCCGGUACAAAGGGCUGCAAUACCGCGAGGUGGAGCGAAUCCCAAAAAGCCGGUCCCAGUUCGGAUUGAGGUCUGCAACUCGACCUCAUGAAGUCGGAGUCGCUAGUAAUCGCAGAUCAGCAACGCUGCGGUGAAUACGUUCCCGGGUCUUGUACACACCGCCCGUCAAGUCAUGAAAGUCGGUAACACCUGAAGCCGGUGGCCUAACCCUUGUGG